rnacentral:rRNA from 1 species
GAUGAACGCUGGCGGCGUGCCUAAUACAUGCAAGUCGAGCGAACGGACGAGAAGCUUGCUUUUCUGAUGUUAGCGGCGGACGGGUGAGUAACACGUGGAUAACCUACCUAUAAGACUGGGAUAACUUCGGGAAACCGGAGCUAAUACCGGAUAAUAUUUUGAACCGCAUGGUUCAAAAGUGAAAGACGGUCUUGCUGUCACUUAUAGAUGGAUCCGCGCUGCAUUAGCUAGUUGGUAAGGUAACGGCUUACCAAGGCAACGAUGCAUAGCCGACCUGAGAGGGUGAUCGGCCACACUGGAACUGAGACACGGUCCAGACUCCUACGGGAGGCAGCAGUAGGGAAUCUUCCGCAAUGGGCGAAAGCCUGACGGAGCAACGCCGCGUGAGUGAUGAAGGUCUUCGGAUCGUAAAACUCUGUUAUUAGGGAAGAACAUAUGUGUAAGUAACUGUGCACAUCUUGACGGUACCUAAUCAGAAAGCCACAGCUAACUACGG